UACGUAGGCAGCAAGCGUUGUCCGGAAUUACUGGGCGUAAAGAGUGUGUAGGCGGUGCUCUAAGUUCGGUGUGAAAUCUCCCGGCUUAACUGGGAGGGUGCGCCGGAAACUGGAGUGCUCGAGCGUGGGAGAGGAAAGCGGAAUUCCUGGUGUAGCGGUGAAAUGCGUAGAUAUCAGGAGGAACACCUGCGGUGUAGACGGCUUUCUGGACCAUUGCUGACGCUGAGACACGAAAGCGUGGGUAGCAAACAGG
rnacentral:rRNA from 1 species